AAUCCCAAGUGCGUAGGCAUAGAGCCUACGCUUUUGUCCACCGUAGGGAGGUGGACGAAUAAGGGCUGGGCAAGACCGGUGCCAGCCGCCGCGGUAAUACCGGCAGCCCGAGUGAUGGCCGAUCUUAUUGGGCCUAAAGCGUCCGUAGCUGGCCGCGCAAGUCUAUCGGAAAAUCCACCCGCUCAACGGGUGGGCGUCCGGUAGAAACUGCGUGGCUUGGGACCGGAAGGCGCGACGGGUACGUCCGGGGUAGGAGUGAAAUCCUGUAAUCCUGGACGGACCGCCGAUGGCGAAAGCACGUCGCGAGAACGGAUCCGACAGUGAGGGACGAAAGCUAGGGUCUCGAACCGGAUUAGAUACCCGGGUAGUCCUAGCCGUAAACAAUGCCUGCUAGGUGUGGCUCCCACUACGAGUGGGUGCUGUGCCGUAGGGAAGCCGCUAAGCAGGCCGCCUGGGAAGUACGUCCGCAAGGAUGAAACUUAAAGGAAUUGGCGGGGGAGCACUACAACCGGAGGAGCCUGCGGUUUAAUUGGACUCAACGCCGGACAUCUCACCAGCAUCGACUGUAGUAAUGACGAUCAGGUUGAUGACCUUAUCCGAGCUUCAGAGAGGAGGUGCAUGGCCGCCGUCAGCUCGUACCGUGAGGCGUCCUGUUAAGUCAGGCAACGAGCGAGACCCGCAUCCUUACUUGCCAGCAGCACUGCGAAGUGGCUGGGGACAGUAGGGAGACCGCCGUGGCCAACACGGGGGAAGGAACGGGCAACGGUAGGUCAGUAUGCCCCGAAUGUGCUGGGCAACACGCGGGCUACAAUGGUCAGGACAAAGGGUUCCUACUCCGAAAGGAGACGGUAAUCUCAGAAACCUGAUCGUAGUUCGGAUUGUGGGCUGCAACUCGCCCACAUGAAGCUGGAUUCGGUAGUAA
rnacentral:rRNA from 1 species